UACGGAAGGGGCGAGCGUUGUUCGGAAUUAUUGGGCGUAAAGGGCGCGUAGGCGGUUGUGUUUGUCUACUGUGAAAGGCCACGGCUUACCUGUGGAGGUGCGGUAGAAACGGCACAACUUGAGGCUGGGAGGGGUUGGUGGAAUUCCCUGUGUAGCGGUGAAAUGCGUAGAUACGGGGGAGAACACUCGUGGCGAAGGCGGCCAACUGGCCCAGUCCUGACGCUGAGGCGCGACAGCGUGGGGAGCAAACAGGAUUAGAUACCCUGGUAGUCCACGCCGUAAACGAUGGGCACUAGGUGUCGGCGGUUUUGAGUCCGUCGGUGCCGGCGCUAACGCAGUAAGUGCCCCGCCUGGGGAGUACGGUCGCAAGGCUGAA
rnacentral:rRNA from 1 species